rnacentral:rRNA from 1 species
GCGCGAAAAACUUUACAAUGCGGGAAACCGUGAUAAGGGAACUCUGAGUGCCCGUAAAAUCGGGCUGUCCAUCAGUUUAAAUAACUGGUGAAGAAAGGGCCGGGCAAGACCGGUGCCAGCCGCCGCGGUAAUACCGGCGGCUCGAGUGGUGGCCACUAUUACUGGGCUUAAAGCGUUCGUAGCUGGUUUGUUAAGUCUCUGGGGAAAUCUUCCGGCUUAACCGGAAGGCGUCUCAGGGAUACUGGCAGACUAGGGACCGGAAGAGGUGAGAGGUACUCCAGGGGUAGGAGUGAAAUCCUGUAAUCCUUGGGGGACCACCUGUGGCGAAGGCGUCUCACCAGAACGGCUCCGACAGUGAGGGACGAAAGCUGGGGGAGCGAAACCGGAUUAGAUACCCGGGUAGUCCAGGGCGUAAACGCUGCAGGCUUGGUGUUGGGGACCCUACGGAGGGUGCUCAGUGCCGGAGUGAAGAUGUUAAGCCUGCCG